AUGGCUCCUCCUCAGUGCGCCGUCUCGUCGCCGCCCGCCCCCACCAAUGCCGCCAAUGCCGCCGCCGCCGCCGCCGGCGGCGGAGGCAAGGGCAGGACGCAACUGGCGGUGGCGCAGGUGAAGAAGCUCUGCAAGCAGGGGCGGCUCGAGCAGGCGCGGCGGCUGCUGCUGGACGCGCUGCCGCGCCCGCCCCCGACGCUGCUCUGCAACGUGCUCCUCAUCGCCUACGUCGCCGCCGCGCUCCCGGACCACGCGCUCCGCCUCUACGCGCUCCUCAACCACGCCGCGCGCCCCGCGCCCCGCUCCGACCACUACACCUACUCCUGCGCGCUCACCGCCUGCGCCCGCUCCCGCCGCCUGCGCCUCGGGAGGUCCGUCCACGCGCACCUCCUCCGCCGCGCCCGCUCGCUCCCGGACACCGCCGUCCUCCGCAACUCGCUGCUCAACCUCUACGCCUCCUGCGCGAGGUACUGCCACGGCGGCGUCGACGUCGUCCGCAGGCUGUUCGACGCAAUGCCGAAGAAGAACGUCGUUUCGUGGAACACCCUGUUUGGCUGGUACGUCAAGACCGGGCGCCCCGAUGAAGCCCUGGAGAUGUUCGUGCGCAUGCUGGAGGACGGUGUCAGGCCUACGCCGGUCAGCUUCGUGAAUGUCUUCCCGGCUGCGGGGAGCGGCGAUCCCAGCUGGCCAUUCUUGCUCUAUGGUUUGCUGAUAAAGCAUGGGGUGGAGUAUGUCAAUGAUCUCUUCGUUGUCAGCUCAGCGAUCGGCAUGUUCUCUGAGAUUGGCGAUGUGCGGACAGCUCGGAUGGUGUUUGACCGUGCUGCCAAGAAGAACAUUGAGGUUUGGAACACGAUGAUCACUGGGUACGUGCAGAAUGGGCAGUUUUCUGAAGCCAUGGAUCUCUUUAUCCAGAUACUGGGGUCAAAAGAGGUUCCAUCAGAUGUUGUGACUUUCUUGUCAGCCGUCACAGCGGCCUCGCAGUCACAAGAUGUCAGGCUGGGUCAGCAACUGCAUGGCUACUUGAUGAAAGGAAUGCACAGCACACUGCCUGUGAUACUGGGUAAUGCGCUUGUCGUGAUGUACUCGAGAUGCGGCGAUGUCCAAACUGCAUUUGAACUGUUUGAUCGAGUGCCAGAGAAGGACAUUGUUUCCUGGAACACCAUGAUCACUGCUUUUGUCCAAAAUGAUUUUGACUUGGAGGGCCUGUUGCUCGUUUAUGAGAUGCAGAAAUCAGGUUUCAUUCCUGAUACCGUGACAUUGACUGCAGUGCUGUCUGCAGCAUCAAAUACAGGAGACCUUCAGAUUGGUAAACAGUCGCAUGGGUAUCUCAUCAGGCAUGGCAUUGAGGGCGAAGGCUUGGAGAGCUAUCUGAUAGACAUGUACUCCAAGUCUGGCCGCAUAGACAUGGCUCAGAGAGUAUUUGAUGGCUAUGGGAAUAACAGAGAUGAAGUCACUUGGAAUGCCAUGAUAGCAGGAUACACACAGGGUGGCCAGCCUGAACAGGCAGUCUUAGCAUUCCGGGCGAUGAUUGAGGCAGGUGUAGAGCCUACUUCAGUGACACUUGCUUCAGUACUUCCUGCGUGUGACCCCGUUGGAGGGGGUGUAUGUGCAGGGAAGCAGAUACAUAGUUUUGCGCUGCGCCAUUCUCUGGAUACCAAUGUCUUUGUAGGUACAGCUCUUGUUGACAUGUACUCCAAGUGUGGGGAGAUUUCUGCUGCAGAGAAUGUCUUUGGUGGCAUGACUGAGAAGACCACUGUCACCUAUACGACAAUGAUCUCCGGUCUUGGCCAGCACGGUUACGGCGAAAGAGCACUAUCCCUCUUCUACUCGAUGCGAGACAAGGGCUUAAAGCCUGACGCCGUGACCUUCCUGGCUGCCAUUUCAGCAUGUAAUUACUCUGGAUUCGUCGACGAAGGUCUUUCUUUGUACAGGUCAAUGGAAACAUUUGGGCUUUUAGCUACCCCUCAGCACCACUGCUGUAUUGUGGACUUGUUGGCUAAAGCCGGGAGGGUGGACGAAGCAUACGACUUUGUAGAAAGCCUGGGUGAGGAUGGGAACUUCAUCGCCAUCUGGGGAUCGCUUCUGGCAUCCUGCAAAGUGCAAGGCAAGAUGGAGUUGGCAGCAUGGGCGACUGAGAAGGUGCUCAACAUUGAGAAGCAGUAUGGUCAUGCAGGCUACAAUGUUUUGCUGUCGCAGCUAUUUGCUGCUGAAGGUAACUGGAGUAGCGCUGAUAGUCUGAGAAAGGAGAUGAGAUUGAGGGGGGUGAGGAAAGAGGUGGGUUCUAGUUGGAUCAAAGUCCAGACUGCAGCAUUGCAGGACAGAUCUGUGGAGAGGAACCAAAAGCAAAAUUUCCCCGAAAAUGAGCACGUGUUCUCGAUGCUGGAUGGGGAUACUUGCAGUACAGGCGCAAUCAUUUAA
rnacentral:rRNA from 1 species